rnacentral:rRNA from 1 species
AUGGCUCAGGAUGAACGCUAGCGGCAGGCUUAACACAUGCAAGUCGAGGGGCAUCGGGAGUAGCAAUACUUGCCGGCGACCGGCGCAAGGGUGCGUAACGCGUGAGCAACAUGCCCGUAUCAGGGGGGAUAAUCCAUGGAAACGUGGUCUAAUACCCCAUAGUAAUUAUGUAAGGCAUCUUAUAUAAUUUAAAGCUUUGGUGGAUACGGAUUGGCUCGCGUGACAUUAGCUAGAUGGUAAGGUAACGGCUUACCAUGGCUACGAUGUCUAGGGGUUCUGAGAGGAAGGUCCCCCACACUGGAACUGAGACACGGUCCAGACUCCUACGGGAGGCAGCAGUGAGGAAUAUUGGACAAUGGAUGGAAAUCUGAUCCAGCCAUGCCGCGUGCAGGAAGACGGCCCUAUGGGUUGUAAACUGUCUUUUGUAUGGGAGCAAUAAGGGCUACGCGUAGUCCGAUGAGAGUACCAUACGAAUAAGCACCGGCUAACUCCGUGCCAGCAGCGGC